GACGAACGCUGGCGGCGUGCCUAACACAUGCAAGUCGAACGGAGGUUAGAGCUUCGGUUUUAACUUUAGUGGCGAACGGGUGAGUAACGCGUGAGGAACCUGCCUUUCAGAGGGGGACAACAGUUGGAAACGACUGCUAAUACCGCAUAACAUAUUCGGACCGCAUGAUCUGAAUAUCAAAGCUUUAUGUGCUGAAAGAGGGCCUCGCGUCUGAUUAGCUAGUUGGUGAGGUAACGGCUCACCAAGGCGACGAUCAGUAGCCGGUCUGAGAGGAUGAACGGCGACAUUGGGACUGAGAUACGGCCCAGACUCCUACGGGAGGCAGCAGUGGGGAAUAUUGAGCAAUGGGCGAAAGCCUGACCCAGCAACGCCGCGUGAAGGAAGAAGGCCCUCGGGUUGUAAACUUCUUUUACCAGGGACGAAGGACGUGACGGUACCUGGAGAAAAAGCAACGGCUAACUACGUGCCAGCCGCCGCUGUAACAC
rnacentral:rRNA from 1 species